AAACCCGAGUGCAAAUUUUGUUGAAACUACCACCACUUCAAUAUCGACGUCGACCACAUCUUGUUCGAGUAAAGAAUCGGGUGGGACGAGGAAGAAGAAGAGGAAGUUUGUGGAGUUCUUUGAGAGGUUAAUGAACGAGGUGAUUGAGAAGCAGGAGAAAUUGCAAAAGAAGUUUGUGGAGGCAUUGGAGAAAUGUGAAGUAGAGAGGUUAGCUAGAGAAGAAGAAUGGAAGAUGCAAGAAUUAGCUCGAAUCAAGAAAGAGCGAGAACGUUUAAAUCAAGAGAGAUCGAUUGCAGCUGCAAAGGAUGCAGCUGUUCUUUCAUUCUUGAAGGUUUUCUCUGAACAAGUGGGCACAGUGCAGUUCCCGGAGAACUUGAUUUCAG
rnacentral:misc_RNA from 1 species